GAAGCAUCUUUUUUUCCAUAAAAUACGUAGAGAAAUAUUUGUAGGCAUUUUAAACUAUACGCCGCUGAAUAAGCGAAUAUUUGACGGAAAGGCGCAGAUGUGUGGCCUUUUUCUUU
rnacentral:sRNA from 1 species